rnacentral:tRNA from 1 species
CUUCAAAAAAAAAAAUAAAGAACCUAUAUUAUGAUAUGUGUU